UACAGAGGUGGCAAGCGUUGUUCGGAAUUACUGGGCGUAAAGGGCGCGUAGGCGGCCUUCUAAGUCGGACGUGAAAGCCCCAGGCUUAACCUGGGAACUGCGUCCGAUACUGGGAGGCUUGGAUUCGGGAGAGGGAUGUGGAAUUCCAGGUGUAGCGGUGAAAUGCGUAGAUAUCUGGAGGAACACCGGUGGCGAAGGCGGCCGACUGGGCCGACCCUGACGCUGAGGCGCGAAGGCGUGGGGAGCGAACGGG
rnacentral:rRNA from 1 species